GACGAAGGGGGCUAGCGUUGUUCGGAAUUACUGGGCGUAAAGGGCGCGUAGGCGGCGACCCAAGUCAGAUGUGAAAGUCCUGGGCUUAACCUGGGGACUGCAUUUGAUACUGGGUUGCUUGAAUUCGGGAGAGGAUAGCGGAAUUCCCAGUGUAGAGGUGAAAUUCGUAGAUAUUGGGAAGAACACCGGUGGCGAAGGCGGCUAUCUGGACCGACAUUGACGCUGAGGCGCGAAAGCGUGGGGAGCAAACAGG
rnacentral:rRNA from 1 species